rnacentral:rRNA from 1 species
AAACUCAAAUGAAUUGACGGGGCCGCACAAGCGGAGGAACAUGUGGUUUAAUUCGAUGAUACGCGAGGAACCUUACCUGGGCUUAAAUGGGGAGUGACAGCUGUCGAAAGAUGGUUUUCUUCGGACACUCUUCAAGGUGCUGCAUGGUUGUCGUCAGCUCGUGCCGUGAGGUGUCGGGUUAAGUCCCAUAACGAGCGCAACCCUUACCGUUAGUUACCAUCAGGUUAAGCUGGGGACUCUAGCGGGACUGCCACCGUAAGGUGAGAGGAAGGUGGGGAUGACGUCAAAUCAGCACGGCCCUUAUGUCCAGGGCUACACACGUGUUACAAUGGCCAGUACAAAGGGCAGCUACCGGGUGACCGGAUGCUAAUCUCUAAAGCUGGUCUCAGUUUGGAUCGAAGUCUGCAACCCGACUUCGUGAAGCUGGAUUCGCUAGUAAUCGCGCAUCAGCCAUGGCGCGGUGAAUACGUUCCCGGGCCUU